ensembl:lncRNA
GUUGGGGUGCAGAGGACCUUUAGGAUCAUGGAACCACGGGAUCCUACAAUGGUUGGGGUGGAAGGGACCUUAAAGAUCAUAACACCACGGCAUCCUACAACGGUUGGGAUGGAGAGGACCUUUAGGAUCGUGGAACCAUGAGAUCCCACAAGGGUUGGGGUGGAAGGAAUCUCAAAGACCAUAACACCACAGGAUCCUACAAGGGUUGGGAUGGGAGGACCUUUAGGAUCAUGGCACUGCGGGAUCCCACAAGGUUUGGGUUUUAAAGACCAUACAACCAUGAGGUCCUACAGUGGUUGGGUUGGGAGGAAUAUUUAGGAUCAUGGAACCACGGGAUCCUACAAUGGUUGGGGUGGAGGGGACCUUAAAGAUCAUAACACCACGGGAUCCUACAAAGGUUGGGGUGGAGAGGACCUUUAGGACCGUGGCUGCGUGGGAUCCCACAAGGUUAGGGUUGUAGGGAUCUCAAAGACCACAGAACUGUAGGAUCCUACAACGGUUGGGAUGGAGAGGACCUGUAGGAUCGUGGAACCACGGGAUCCUAUAAUGGUCGGGGUGGAAGGCACCUUAAAGAUCAUAACACCAAGAGAUCCUACAAGGGUUGGGAUGGGAGGACCUUUUGGAUCGUGGCACUGUGGGAUCCCACAAGGUUUGGGUUUUAAAGACCAUACAACCAUGAGAUCCUACAGUGGUUGGGUUGGGAGGAAUCUUUAGGAUCAUGGAAAUAUGGGAUCCUACAAUGGUUGGGGUGGAAGGGACCUUAAAGAUCAUAACACCACCUGAUCCUACAAGGGUUGGGGUGGAGGGGACCUUUAGGAUCAUGGCUGCCUGGGAUCCCACAAGGGUUGGGUUUUAGGGAUCUCAAAGACCACAGAACUGUGGGAUCCUACAGCGUUUGGGAUGGAGAGGACCUGUAGGAUCGUGGAACCACGGGAUCCUACAAUGGUUGGGGUGGAAGGGACCUUAAAGAUCAUAACACCACGGGAUCCUACAAGGGUUGGGGUGGAGAGGACCUUUAGGAUUAUGGAACCAUGAGACCCCACAAGGGUUGGGGUGGAAGGGAUCUCAAAGACCAUAACACCACGGGAUCCUACAAGGGUUGGGGUGGAGAGGACCUUUAGGAUCAUGGCACUGUGGGAUCCCACAAUGUUUGGAUUUAAAGACCAUACAACCAUGAGAUCCUACAGUGGUUGGGUUGGGAGGAAUCUUUAGGAUCAUGGAACCAUGGGAUCCUACAAUGGUUGGGGUGGAGAGGAUAUUUAGGAUCAUAACACCACGGGGUCCUAAAAUGAUUGGGGUGGAAGGGACCUUGAAGACCACAACACCACAGGAUCCUAAAAGGGAUGGGAUGGGAGGACCUUUAGGAUCAUGGAACCAUGGGAUCCUGAAAGGGUUGGGGUGGAGAGGAUAUUUAGGAUCAUGGAACCACGGGAUCCUACAAUGGUUGGGGUGGAAGGGACCUUGAAGACCGCAACACCACAGGAUCCUAAAAGGGUUGGGGUGGAGAGGACAUUUAGGAUCAUGGCACUGUGGGAUCCCACA